rnacentral:rRNA from 1 species
UACAGAGGUCUCAAGCGUUGUUCGGAAUCACUGGGCGUAAAGGGUGCGUAGGUGGCGUGGUAAGUCAGAUGUGAAAGCCCGAGGCUCAACCUCGGAACUGCAUCCGAUACUGCCAUGCUUGAGUACUGAAGAGGUGACUAGAAUUCUAGGUGUAGCAGUGAAAUGCGUAGAUAUCUAGAGGAAUACCAAAGGCGAAGGCAGGUCACUGGGCAGUUACUGACACUGAGGCACGAAGGCCAGGGGAGCGAACGGG